CUCAAACAGAAAGUAGACUAUACCACCAGUGCUGAAAAUGUGUUGCUGGAAAAGCGCAGCAGGUCAGGCAGCAUCCAAGGAACAGGAGAUUUGACGUUUUGGGCAUAAGCCCUUCUUCAGGAAUGAGAAAAGUGUGUCCACCAGGCUAAGAUAAAAGGCAAAAGUAGAUGCAGAAACCAGGAGGCUGGAAAACGAAGGAAUCAUCAAACCAGGCUAGAGUGUGGAAUGGGCAGCACCAGUCAUAACAAUUGUGAAGCCCGACAGGUCGAUUCACCUCGUGGGGAUUUUAAACAAACGGCAAGGAUGCCCGGAGGCAUGGUACAUUGGGGAAACCGAGCAAAGGCUACAACAACGAAUGAAUGGGCACCGCACAACAAUCAACAGACAGGAGUGCUCCCUCCCAGUUGGGCAACACUUCAGUGAUCCAGAACAUUCAGCCUUGGACCAUCGGUGACCAUCCUCCAAGGUGGACUUCAGGACAGACAGCAGCAAAAAGUGGCCGAGCAGAGGCUGAUAGCUAAGUUCGGUACCCAUAGGGAGGGCCUCAACCGGGACCUUGGGUUCAUCUCACAUUACAGGUGACCACCAUUGUACCACACACACACACACUCCAAACAGAUACGCACACAGACACUCACACACACUCCUACAGACACACACUCCCACACUCACAUGCACCCUCUCACAGACUUAGACCCCUUUACACUCUCACACACACACACACAUAUACAUUCUCUCUCACAGACACUCACAUCCCCCAUCCCAGGCACACACACACACGGGCACUCCUAUACACACACAUACACACCUAUACACAGACACUCUCUCACACUCCUACAGACACACACACUCCCACAGACACACAUGCACUCUCACACAGAUAUUGACCUCUUUACACACACACACACACACACACACACACACACACACUCUCUCACAGACACUCACAACCCCCACCCCAGACACACACACACACACACACACACACACACACACACAAACCCACAUGCACACGCACACACAUAUACGUUUGUGGGGUGAAUUUCUACUUGCAGAUUUACAUUGUACUUUGCUCAAAAACUGCAUGAAUCCAUGUAAGACUCUUAACGUUUUUUUUAGAUUAGAAUCAGAGUCAUAGAGAUGUACAGCACGGAAACAGACCCUUCGGUCCAACCCGUCCAUGUCGACCAGAUAUCCCAACCCAAUCUAGUCCCACCUGCCAGUACCGGCCCAUAUCCCUCCAAUCCCUUCCUAUUCAUAUACCCAUCCAAAUGCCUCUUAAAUGUUGCAAUUGCACCAGCCUCCACCACAUCCUCUGGCAGCUCAUUCCAUACACGUACCACCCUCUGCGUGAAAAAGUUGCCCCUUAGGUCUCUUUUAUAUCUUUCCCCUCUCACUCUAAACCUAUGCCCUCUAGUUCUGGUCUCCCCCAACCCAGGGAAAAGACUUUGCCUAUUUAUCCUAUCCAUGCCCCUCAUAAUUUUGUAAACCUCUAUAAGGUCACCCCUCAGCCUCCGACGCUCCAGGGAAAACAGCCCCAGCCUGUUCAGCCUCUCCCCAUAGCUCAAAUCCUCCAACGCUGGCAACAUCCUUGUAAAUCUUUUCUGAACCCUUUCAAGUUUCACAACAUCUUUCCGAUAGGAAGGAGACCAGAAUUGCAUGCAAUAUUCCAACAGUGGCCUAACCAAUGUCCUGUACAGCCGCAACAUGACCUCCCAACUCCUGUACUCAAUACUUUGACCAACAAAGGAAAGCAUACCAAACACUUUCCUCACUAUCCUAUCUACCUGCUACUCCACUUUCAAGGAGCUAUGAACCUGCACUCCAAGGUCUCUUUGUUCAGCAACACUCCCUAGGCCUUACCAUUAAGUGUAUGAGUCCUGCUAAGAUUUGCUUUCCCAAAAUGCAGCACCUCGCAUUUAUCUGCAUUAUGGCACAGACAGGGAACACAGGGGGCUAACACCUUCAACAUCUCAACAUCUUAUCUGCGCUGACACAAAUUGUUACAGUUAACCUGAGAAUGUAACUUUUUAAAAAAGUUUUGUGAUUUAUGUAUGUAAGAAGUGAAAUUAUCAUGGUAUUCGAACAGAUGGAAGACUCACCAAACAACCAAGGUAUUUUUCAAUGUAUAAUUUCGGUUACAUCACACUGUAAACUUUUGCUAUAAAUUCUGUACCUUACAAUUGUGUCCUCCACAACCACCUGAUGAAGGAGCGUCACUCCGAAAGCUAGUGUGC